rnacentral:rRNA from 1 species
GUGCCAGCAGCCGCGGUAAUACAGAGGGUGCAAGCGUUAAUCGGAGUUACUGGGCGUAAAGGGCGCGUAGGCGGUUGUACAAGUGAGAUGUGAAAUCCCCGGGCUUAACCUGGGAACUGCAUUUUAGACUGUACGACUGGAGUACUGUAGAGGACAGUGGAAUUUCCGGUGUAGCGGUGAAAUGCGUAGAGAUCGGAAGGAACACCAGUGGCGAAGGCGACUGUCUGGACAGAUACUGACGCUGAGGCGCGAAAGCGUGGGGAGCAAACAGGAUUAGAUACCCCGGUAGUCC